GAUGAACGCUGGCGGCGUGCCUAAUACAUGCAAGUCGAGCGAACGGACGAGAAGCUUGCUUCUCUGAUGUUAGCGGCGGACGGGUGAGUAACACGUGGAUAACCUACCUAUAAGACUGGGAUAACUUCGGGAAACCGGAGCUAAUACCGGAUGAUAUUUUGAACCGCAUGGUUCAAAAGUGAAAGACGGUCUUGCUGUCACUUAUAGAUGGAUCCGCGCUGCAUUAGCUAGUUGGUAAGGUAACGGCUUACCAAGGCAACGAUGCAUAGCCGACCUGAGAGGGUGAUCGGCCACACUGGAACUGAGGCACGGUCCAGACUCCUGCGGGGGGCAGCAGUAGGGAAUCUUCCGCAAUGGGCGAAAGCCUGACGGAGCAACGCCGCGUGAGUGAUGACGGUCUUCGGAUCGUAAAACUCUGUUAUUAGGGAAGAACAUAUGUGUAAGUAACUGUGCACAUCUUGACGGUACCUAAUCAGAAAGCCCCGGCUAACUACGUG
rnacentral:rRNA from 1 species